CUUUCUUCUUUUUUAUUGCAAUUCACCCCUCCAACUUACCCAUAAUUACCAUUUUCAGCCCACUUUUUUCUUUUAUUUUUAAAUUUCCUUUUGAAUCUCCUUAUAUAUCCCAUCCUUUUCCUCCCAUCUUCCCAUUCAUUCACCCUCUCCAUUCCUUUCUGAUAUAUGCUUUCAUAUAUCAAAUCUGCCUGGCUCCCUGUAUGCCAUUUGUAGAGCGCUCACCGUCUUACCCGAUGACCUCCGUAGAUGGCGUAUGAGGAGCCAAGCAUAUUCCGUGUAGAUCGGGAUUCAAAUCUUUUAUCUUUAACAUCACAACUUACCCGUCUUUUGUUUUUAAUCCAUCUAUGUCUUAAUCAGCUCAGCUAUGCUCUAAAUUGGUAAUUCUCGACCUAACCCUUCUCAAUGCUCGUGCCCUUUUCUUAUUGCAGCUACCCGAAAAACCCUAAUUUCAAACAUUGGCAUUGAAGAGAUCUCAUGUAUACCAAUGUAUAAUAGCAAGCGACCGAAGAUCUGAUGGGAUGAAAUCUGAUCGUGUGGUGAUGGGUUGUUCAAUAUGAAGAGAGUAAGGUAGAUCUGGCCACAGAGGAUCCAAAUAUAUACAUAUAUAUUAGAAUGGGAAAGAAUCCGAGUGGAAAGAGCUUGAGGAUUCUCUCAUAGCUAGGGUUAUUUGGAUAGCUAUCUUAGCCUAAUGGCUAGCUAUAUUCUACUACAUGUAGUGUAAUAAUCAACCAUUUAUCUCAAUAAAUCUUUUUUUUUUUU